rnacentral:rRNA from 1 species
UACCAGCAGCUAUGGGAUUAUGGCCAAGAACUAAGAAGGUGCAAUCCUGGGAGCAAAUUUAUUGUCAGAACAACCAAGGUGAAGGGGAAAGAUGAUGCACUCCCAAAGGAUCAUUUGUCAUCACUGUAUUGGUCCUAUGAUGCUUGCAAGAGAGGGUUUCUAAAGGGAUGUAGGCCUAUAAUAUUUCUGGAUGGCUGCCACUUGAAGAGCAGGUACAAAGGCCAGCUACUGACAGUAGUGGGCAUAGACCCAAAUGACUGCAUAUUUCCUAUUGCUAUGGGUUUGGUGGAAGUGGAGUCUACUUAUACAUGGGAAUGGUUCUUGACAACACUU